rnacentral:rRNA from 1 species
GAUGAACGCUGGCGGCGUGCCUAAUACAUGCAAGUCGAGCGAACAGACGAGGAGCUUGCUCCUCUGACGUUAGCGGCGGACGGGUGAGUAACACGUGGAUAACCUACCUAUAAGACUGGGAUAACUUCGGGAAACCGGAGCUAAUACCGGAUAAUAUAUUGAACCGCAUGGUUCAAUAGUGAAAGACGGUUUUGCUGUCACUUAUAGAUGGAUCCGCGCCGCAUUAGCUAGUAGGUAAGGUAACGGCUUACCAAGGCAACGAUGCGUAGCCGACCUGAGAGGGUGAUCGGCCACACUGGAACUGAGACACGGUCCAGACUCCUACGGGGGGCAGCAGUAGGGAAUUUUCCGCAAUGGGCGAAAGCCUGACGGAGCAACGCCGGGUGAGUGAUGAAGGUCUUCGGAUCGUAAAACUCUUUUAUUAGGGAAGAAAAAAUGUGUAAGUAACUAUGCACGUUUUGACGGUACCAAAUCAAAAAGCCACGGCUAACUACGU